GAUGCGUACUGGGCGGUCGCGUGCGUUUCGGCGUACGAGGAAAGUCCGAGCUCGAUAGGACAACGGUGGUGGGUAACGCCCACCCACAGUAUUGGCGACGAUGCUGUGAGGGAUAGCGCCACAGAAAAUGUACCGCCUCACAUAUAUUUCGUAAGUGCCUACGGCAUACUGCGUUAUAUGAGGUAAGGGUGAAAAGGUGCGGUAAGAGCGCACCGCUGGGCUGGUGACAGUUCAGGCAUGGCAAGCCCCACCGCGUGCAAGACCAAGCAGUUUCCUUUUUCUUGGAUGUUCUUAUGGAGCAACUGGGAAAUGGCCUUGUCCGGGUCAUGGAAGCGGGUAGGUUGCUGGAACCCAUUGGCAACAAUGGGUCUAGAGAAAUGAUCGCUGCCUUCUUUGAAGGUACAGAACUCGGCUUACAAGUACGCAUCACGC
rnacentral:RNase_P_RNA from 1 species